AUGAGGCGUGACCCAGAACUGCGUCAAGCUAUCUCCCCAACCUUCCACGCUGUACGGGGGGACACCGUCCUCCUCACCGUCGCCGUCGACAACCCUCUGCUCGCCAGGAGCGUCGCCAUCCAAUGGCACGGCACCGGCGUGGUAACUAAGCCAAUAAUCCCAAUCUUCUCUCACGAGUCACGACCCCAUGUUAUACUGAUGUUGAUUUUGUCCACCGAUCGACUAAUUCUGUGGUGGUUGAUGGGUGCUGCAGACUGGCACGCCGGCGGCGGACGGCAUCGAGGGCCACACCUUGACGUACAAUUUCGUGGCGGACCGGCCAGGCACGUUCACCUUCCGCGCACGCUACGGCCGCAGCCGCGCCGUGACCUUCACCGACGCGCAGGGACGCGAGGCCCGGCCGUCCGCCGGUGA
rnacentral:rRNA from 1 species